UAAUGAUUUUCAAACUAAUGUGUAGAAUGGACAUGAUUGGAAGAAUGUGUUGGUUAAUUUUUAAAUAUGACUUUUUUUUUACAGACGUGGUCUGUCUUACAACAUGGAACUCCAUAUAGUGCGACACUUCUUGUCCCACGAUAGUCAAACACGCAUUUGGAGAACAUUCAGAAGCUACAUUCAGUUACCUUGGGUUGGUUUCUGUCCUUAAAGAAACCAUAAUGUUUGACACCUGAGGAUGGGUUUCCAUCCCAGCAGAAUCACACUUUCUCGCACUGCCUACAUUCGGGAUUUUUGUCUGACAUUAGCACUGAGGUUGAAUGCCAUUCUUUGUUCUAGCGCAGGAGUUCUUACAAUUUUCUUCUAAGGGUCCAGGCUGUAAAUAUUUGAACUUUGAACUUGUGUUGCAGCUGUGCUACCCUGCUCAAAAACAAACAAGCAUGGCUGUGCUUUAGUAAAACAACUGAAAUUCGAGCUUCAUAUACUUGGCAGAUACCAAAAGGGUCUAUUAAGUUUCAAAGAGCUAUUGGAAGAUGAAAAAAAUUUUUUUUAGUUUACAGGCUUAACAGACACAGGAAGUAGGUUGGGCUGGACUUGUGGACUCUGGUUUUCCCACAGUGGCUUUAGUCCAUGGGCCUACUAUUUAUCCAGUCAUUUAUAAAACAUAUCAUCAGGAACUUAUCACUAUCUAGAUGUAAAACUAUUAAAGUUGGGGAAUAAUUUGUUUUAAAAUGACUUACAGUUGGUUUGCUGAUAUAACUGAAUAACAUAGUGGCAUCCUUGCACAUGUAUGCUAUAAUGUGUCUCCUGGAGUCGGCACAAAAGAGGUAACAGUGAGGAACCAGUCUCGGUAAGCAACAGCUUUGUUUUGCCUGAGGUCUGGCAGCCAUUAACGUGUCUCACUGCGGAGCUACUCUUUUGGUGAACAUUUCUACGCUUAGAGUAAUUUAUUUCCAUGUAGAAUUUUUUGAAAGAAAUAUCAUAUGGGCAUGAGAGUGAUUUAUACAUGUGACACAUAUAACUCAUUUAAUAAAACAAUGUGUGGGAGCCAGCAUACCAAGUCACAUGCUGAGGUGACUGUAGUUGACUGCUGUCCAUCCGUCCGUCCAUCCAUCUUCUCCAUCCAAGUGCAUAGUUAGUGAGCAGGUGGAUUAUUGUCAGUGUGUUUAUAUGUAUAUACACUUUGUACAUAUGUGACAGAUGGGAGUGUAUUUAUACAUAAACGUGCACAUAUGCGUGAAGGCAUACCAUGAAUAUUAAAGGUUUUUGUCAGGGUUGGUUCUUUUUCUGAUCUCUUGUAUAGUUUAAAACUGGGAGAUAAAACAUUGUGUGUGUGUGUUACAAGCAUACUUACCCUUGAAUUUUUGUUAGUUUAUAGAAAGGAUUCCUGGAUCUUUUAUUAAGCCUUGACUCAUCUAUCUAUCCAACCUUAUAGAAAUCAUGAAGAACAUAUAUGCACUGUUGCUUAAUUUAACUUUUCUAUAUGAAUAACUGGCAUGUUACAUGGUAGCCUAAACAUGUUUUAAGUUGCAUUAGUUUUCUUACUCUGUUUUAUCAUUCACUGAGCAACCUGUGUAGUUUCAAGUUGGAUUUCCUUGUGUCUUUAUUUAACAGAUGACUUGCAUAUAAUUUCCUUUGCCUGAAAAUAGUAGUUAGGGAAAUAAGAGCUUAAAUAUGCCUGGCCAUGGAAAACCAUAUGUAAAUCUAGCCUGGGGCAGGGGCGUGUUCUGUUGAAGAAUAUACCAAUGACCAGGUAAUAUUUUCGGUUUUCUCUCAGAUAUUUGCUAUUAGGUGAGUAACAGUCCAGUCUGAUUCUUCUGGAAUGUAACCAUUCUCUAAGUGUGCUGAAUAGUCAGUGGGUGUGGCACUCCGGGUCACUAGCCGCUGUGCUGCUUCCUGGACUAGAAUGCCCUGCCCCCUCGCCCGCCCUGGAAGAGUGACUGCAGCUUCCCCACACGCCUUACCCCCACUGAUGCAUCGACAUGCUGGAGCAGUCUGGCUCCACAAAGUACCAAUACAGUUUUUUGAGACUGCCUACAAAAUACUAUUUUGUUAAAACUAUGCCUUUAAAUAGACACCGAUGGGUUAUAUUUGUUUUAUAAAAAGUUGUGUACCUAAUGUUCAAUCGUGAUUGAUUUUGAGAUUAUAUAUAAAUGUAUAUUUAUAAGCCUGUCUUAUGUGGAUUUUUACUCUAAGAAGUGUGGCACAUUACUAAUAAAGAUAUGAGUUUCUAUUUAUGUAAAGUCAUUGUAGCAACACUCCUAACUGCUAUCUGAGUGAUGAUCCUGUUCAUUGGCCACCAUACAUACUUUUAUCUUUAGAAUGUUAAGUUAUACUCAGACUAUAUUAACCAAGAUGAAACUUUAAAAACAUAAACCCUCAACAUGAUUUGAAAAUCUUCCUGUUGAUAUAAUUAAAACUAGUUUAUAAUUCCUU
rnacentral:lncRNA from 1 species